rnacentral:rRNA from 1 species
UACGGAGGGUGCGAGCGUUGUCCGGAAUCACUGGGCGUAAAGGGCGCGUAGGCGGCCUGAUAAGUAGGGGGUGAAAUCCUGCGGCUUAACCGCAGGGCUGCCUUCUAAACUGUCAGGCUCGAGCAGCAGUAGAGGCAGGUGGAAUUCCCGGUGUAGCGGUGGAAUGCGUAGAGAUCGGGAAGAACAUCAGUGGCGAAGGCGGCCUGCUGGGCUGUUGCUGACGCUGAGGCGCGACAGCGGUGGGGAGCAAACAGG